UUACGGUCAUAUCAGGAUGAAACAACCGGUUCUCGUAAGAUCACUGAAGUUAAGCAAAUUUGAGUCUGAUCAGUACCUAGAUGGGUAACCGAUUGGGAAUACCAGGUGCUGUCA